rnacentral:lncRNA from 1 species
GUCAACUGGUCAUAUUACCACCAUUCAGAAGCAUGUAGCCUCAAUGUUGGAAGAGGCUUCAGAAAGCACAGCAGAAGCAUUAAAUCCAGUCCAACAGGGAUUGGAUCUGCAUCAAGUAGCAUCCAAACACAAGGACUUAGAGGGUGUGAACAAAGAAGGUCUGUUGGAAGAGAGGAAUUGAAAUUGACAAGAUGAACACGGAUGCUGGGAUGAGUCUG